ensembl:lncRNA
AUGGUGUUCAAGUCGUCGAAUGAAAGAUGCUCGUUUUACCGUUUUCCGUCCGAUGUUACCCAGCGGAGACUCUGGGUUUGUGCUGUAAGACAAGCUGACUGGAAGCCCAGUGUCCAUUCUCGCAUCUGCAGCUGUCAUUUUCCUGCAGGGGAAAAAAAUGUCCCUGUUUUGUUUUUAGUUUGUUUUCAGUUUACUUAUUUUAUGAAAAUAAAGAUGUUUACUACAACUCUUGCUGUAAGGUUUCUGUGGCUCAGUGAUUAAAGCAUUUUGUUAACUGUGCAAAAGGUUGCGAGUUCAAUUCCCAGAGAACACGCUGAUAUGUAUAGCCUGAAUACACUGUAAGACCCCUGUCUGACAAAUACCAAAAAUUAAAUGUUCAACUUUUGUAUACUACUUGUAUACUAUUGUAACUACACUCCAGUCAGCUCACAGUAAUGUGAAUGUGAGAUAAAAUUUACUACACUGGCUCUCACAUUGGGGCUUGUGAAUUACCAGGUAAAAAUAUAUAGAAAAUGUGAACAAAAUGAGUAUAUAUGGUUUAUUUAGGGAACAUAUAUGGUUUAAUUAUAAUAUAUUAUAAUAAGCAUUUGUUGAUGCUAUUGGACAAUUCUCUUUAAAUUCAACAUAUAUAAUUAUAUACAACUAUUAUAUUAAAUGUUUGGAAUUUAACUGUGUUAUGCUUGUUCAGAGAUUGUUUGUAUAGUUAUCUUAAAUACAUAGAACACUAUUAUAACUCCUCUAUCUCUCCCUAGUUUUACUUAUCGAGACUCGAUAAACCUUGUCCCUCAUGCUGGCCCUUACAAUACCGGUAAGUAAACCAGCAUCUAAGCUGCACUGUUCUACAUGUCCAGAUUUAUAGUGGUUCUCUCCUCGAUCUAUGGUUUUUCUAUCGUCUAAGAAAAAGGACAUAAGAUUGGAAAUUGAUACGGCCAUAGCUAACGUUAGUGCUUCUGAGAUGGUAAAAGCGUGUUUUUUUUUCCUGGCGAAUUAGCAAAUGGUAUGUAAACAUACAGUCAUUCAUAAUACAGUGUAAGAUAAUCUUUAAAGUUUAUUUGGGGCAUAAUGAUCAGGCAUAAUAAUCUUAAUCACAAAGAAAAUAAUAUUAAGGUUUAUAUAAACUAACAAAAUAAUAAACGAAUAAAUAAAACAUUAACA